rnacentral:rRNA from 2 species
GAGUUUGAUCCUGGCUCAGGAUGAACGCUGGCGGCGUGCCUAAUACAUGCAAGUCGAGCGAACGGACGAGAAGCUUGCUUCUCUGAUGUUAGCGGCGGACGGGUGAGUAACACGUGGAUAACCUACCUAUAAGACUGGGAUAACUUCGGGAAACCGGAGCUAAUACCGGAUAAUAUUUUGAACCGCAUGGUUCAAAAGUGAAAGACGGUCUUGCUGUCACUUAUAGAUGGAUCCGCGCUGCAUUAGCUAGUUGGUAAGGUAACGGCUUACCAAGGCAACGAUGCAUAGCCGACCUGAGAGGGUGAUCGGCCACACUGGAACUGAGACACGGUCCAGACUCCUACGGGAGGCAGCAGUAGGGAAUCUUCCGCAAUGGGCGAAAGCCUGACGGAGCAACGCCGCGUGAGUGAUGAAGGUCUUCGGAUCGUAAAACUCUGUUAUUAGGGAAGAACAUAUGUGUAAGUAACUGUGCACAUCUUGACGGUACCUAAUCAGAAAGCCACGGCUAACUACGUGCCAGCAGCCGCGGUAAUACGUAGGUGGCAAGCGUUAUCCGGAAUUAUUGGGCGUAAAGCGCGCGUAGGCGGUUUUUUAAGUCUGAUGUGAAAGCCCACGGCUCAACCGUGGAGGGUCAUUGGAAACUGGAAAACUUGAGUGCAGAAGAGGAAAGUGGAAUUCCAUGUGUAGCGGUGAAAUGCGCAGAGAUAUGGAGGAACACCAGUGGCGAAGGCGACUUUCUGGUCUGUAACUGACGCUGAUGUGCGAAAGCGUGGGGAUCAAACAGGAUUAGAUACCCUGGUAGUCCACGCCGUAAACGAUGAGUGCUAAGUGUUAGGGGUUUCCGCCCCUUAGUGCUGCAGCUAACGCAUUAAGCACUCCGCCUGGGGAGUACGACCGCAAGGUUGAAACUCAAAGGAAUUGACGGGGACCCGCACAAGCGGUGGAGCAUGUGGUUUAAUUCGAAGCAACGCGAAGAACCUUACCAAAUCUUGACAUCCUUUGACAACUCUAGAGAUAGAGCCUUCCCCUUCGGGGGACAAAGUGACAGGUGGUGCAUGGUUGUCGUCAGCUCGUGUCGUGAGAUGUUGGGUUAAGUCCCGCAACGAGCGCAACCCUUAAGCUUAGUUGCCAUCAUUAAGUUGGGCACUCUAAGUUGACUGCCGGUGACAAACCGGAGGAAGGUGGGGAUGACGUCAAAUCAUCAUGCCCCUUAUGAUUUGGGCUACACACGUGCUACAAUGGACAAUACAAAGGGCAGCGAAACCGCGAGGUCAAGCAAAUCCCAUAAAGUUGUUCUCAGUUCGGAUUGUAGUCUGCAACUCGACUACAUGAAGCUGGAAUCGCUAGUAAUCGUAGAUCAGCAUGCUACGGUGAAUACGUUCCCGGGUCUUGUACACACCGCCCGUCACACCACGAGAGUUUGUAACACCCGAAGCCGGUGGAGUAACCUUUUAGGAGCUAGCCGUCGAAGGUGGGACAAAUGAUUGGGGUGAAGUCGUAACAAGGUAGCCGUAUCGGAAGGUGCGGCUGGAUCACC